rnacentral:lncRNA from 1 species
AUGGACAAUUGAAUCUGUACCCUUUGGACCUUUCAGCAUAUCCAACAAAAUAUCACUUAUAGUUCUUGGAUCCAGUUUCUUCUCUUGCGGAUUAUAAAUUCUUAUUUCAGACAGACAUCCCCAUACGCGCAUAUGUCGCAAACUUGGUUUCCAACCUUUCAAUAACUCAAAUCGUGUUUUAGGAACAGCCUAGGUUGGAAUCCGAUUUAAUAUAUAUGCUGCC